GGAUUGUGAGAGCUCCUCCACUGCAUGGAAGAUUUUUGGCAUGAAACCCGAAAUUUCAGCUAAUCUGACGCUGCAGCUGCUUGAUGUACAGGGGAGCGAGCUAUGGCAACUCCUGAAACUACUUUCCGAUCUCCAAGGCUUCUGACGGCCUGCCACAUGUGCUUGGCUGGGAGACGCGGCUGGUCUCCCUCCACACAGAAAACUCAACCGCAGUCUGGGUCGUGCUACUCCCCAUUCUGGACCGGUGGGGGUCAUCCCGGUCCCCUACAGUUCUGAGCAGCAUUAUGCACCUGGGUCCCGGCAAAUUAGCAUUUAGUCCCACGCUAUACCUCUAUAACAGAUGUCGC